rnacentral:rRNA from 1 species
AUGCCGCCUAUUGGUACUAGUGGAGUAGGAUUGGCCUGUAAUACAGAACCUAUAGGUGGUGUAACCUUUCGCUCAAUACUCAAAUCUACAAUUGAAGCAUCUGAGGCUGCAUCAAUCGAGGAUACACGACAUAAGGAAUUGACAAAUCCUGAUGUUGGUAAAAUAUACGUGUUGAUCAAGGCCAAGGACAAUGAACCAGCCAUGAAAAGAUUGAAGAACGAGGUAGAAGAUACUGAGUUGUUCAGAUGUUUACAGGAAAUCCAUGGGAAAAACUACCACAGCUUUGUAUUAAGCAAGCAGGUUCCAGUCGUUGGUAAUUUCAGGGAAGCCUACAUUGGCAUUGCUCCUGAGUUAGCCAAAGAGAUCGCGGAAGAAGUGGAUGUUAUCGUAAACUCUGCAGCAAAUACCACUUUUGAUGAGAGGUAUGAUGUAGCACUAGACAUCAACACCGUGGGGCCAUUCCGGAUAAUGAGUUUCGCGCAGCGGUUUCGAAGACUGAAGCUCUUCUUGCAAGUAUCAACAGGUCAGAAUGCCAAAUAA